CGUAGGGUGCAAGCGUUAAUCGGAAUUACUGGGCGUAAAGCGUGCGCAGGCGGCUUUGCAAGACAGAUGUGAAAUCCCCGGGCUCAACCUGGGAACUGCAUUUGUGACUGCAUGGCUGGAGUGCGGCAGAGGGGGAUGGAAUUCCGCGUGUAGCAGUGAAAUGCGUAGAUAUGCGGAGGAACACCGAUGGCGAAGGCAAUCCCCUGGGCCUGCACUGACGCUCAUGCACGAAAGCGUGGGGAGCAAACAGGAUUAGAUACCCUGGUAGUCCACGCCCUAAACGAUGUCAACUGGUUGUUGGACGGCUUGCUGUUCAGUAACGAAGCUAACGCGUGAAGUUGACCGCCUGGGGAGUACGGCCGCAAGGUUG
rnacentral:rRNA from 1 species